rnacentral:rRNA from 1 species
UGGGGAAUAUUGGACAAUGGGCGAAAGCCUGAUCCAGCCAUGCCGCGUGUGUGAAGAAGGUCUUCGGAUUGUAAAGCACUUUAAGUUGGGAGGAAGGGCCAUUACCUAAUACGUGAUGGUUUUGACGUUACCGACAGAAUAAGCACCGGCUAACUCUGUGCCAGCAGCCGCGGUAAUACAGAGGGUGCAAGCGUUAAUCGGAAUUACUGGGCGUAAAGCGCGCGUAGGUGGUUUGUUAAGUUGGAUGUGAAAUCCCCGGGCUCAACCUGGGAACUGCAUUCAAAACUGACUGACUAGAGUAUGGUAGAGGGUGGUGGAAUUUCCUGUGUAGCGGUGAAAUGCGUAGAUAUAGGAAGGAACACCAGUGGCGAAGGCGACCACCUGGACUGAUACUGACACUGAGGUGCGAAAGCCAGGGGAGCAAACGGGAUUAGAUACCCAAGUAGUCCCUGAGCGGGCUGGCAAGGCGCAU